rnacentral:rRNA from 1 species
AUUGAACGCUGGCGGCAGGCCUAACACAUGCAAGUCGAGCGGAUGAAGGGAGCUUGCUCCUGGAUUCAGCGGCGGACGGGUGAGUAAUGCCUAGGAAUCUGCCUGGUAGUGGGGGAUAACGUCCGGAAACGGGCGCUAAUACCGCAUACGUCCUUAGGGAGAAAGUGGGGGAUCUUCGGACCUUACGCUAUCAGAUGAGCCUAGGUCGGAUUAGCUAGUUGGUGGGGUAAAGGCCUACCAAGGCGACGAUCCGUAACUGGUCUGAGAGGAUGAUCAGUCACACUGGAACUGAGACACGGUCCAGACUCCUACGGGAGGCAGCAGUGGGGAAUAUUGGACAAUGGGCGAAAGCCUGAUCCAGCCAUGCCGCGUGUGUGAAGAAGGUCUUCGGAUUGUAAAGCACUUUAAGUUGGGAGGAAGGGCAGUAAGUUAAUACCUUGCUGUUUUGACGUUACCAACAGAAUAAGCACCGGCUAACUUCGUG